GAUGAACGCUAGAUACAGGCUUAACACAUGCAAGUCGAGGGGAAACGAUAUUGGAAGCUUGCUUCCGAUAGGCGUCGACCGGCGCACGGGUGAGUAACGCGUAUCCAACCUGCCCAUCACUUGGGGAUAACCUUGCGAAAGUAAGACUAAUACCCAAUGAUAUCUCUAGAAGACAUCUGAAGGAGAUUAAAGAUUCAUCGGUGAUGGAUGGGGAUGCGUCUGAUUAGCUUGUUGGCGGGGUAACGGCCCACCAAGGCGACGAUCAGUAGGGGUUCUGAGAGGAAGGUCCCCCACAUUGGAACUGAGACACGGUCCAAACUCCUACGGGAGGCAGCAGUGAGGAAUAUUGGUCAAUGGACGAGAGUCUGAACCAGCCAAGUAGCGUGCAGGAUGACGGCCCUAUGGGUUGUAAACUGCUUUUAUAAGGGAAUAAAGUGAGUCUCGUGAGACUUUCUGCAUGUACCUUAUGAAUAAGGACCGGCUAAUUCCGUGCCAGCCGCCGCAGUAA
rnacentral:rRNA from 1 species